GACGAACCGUGCAAACGUUGUUCGGAAUCACUGGGCUUAAAGGGCGCGUAGGCGGCUCGCCAAGUCGGGGGUGAAAUCUUUCGGCUCAACCGGAAAAGUGCCUUCGAUACUGGCGGGCUAGAGGGAGGUAGGGGCAUGCGGAACUUCCGGUGGAGCGGUGAAAUGCGUUGAUAUCGGAAGGAACGCCGGUGGCGAAAGCGGCGUGCUGGACCUCUUCUGACGCUGAGGCGCGAAAGCUAGGGGAGCAAACGGG
rnacentral:rRNA from 1 species